UUCUUUUCUCCAUUUUUGUGGGUACUGAAUUCUCCUAAAAAUCAAACACAACUCCAUUUGCUUUUAUUUUCUUACAAAAUUUUCUCAACAAAAAUUGACGGGAAACUUUCGUAGAUCGUUAUCCUAACCUUUAAUCAAUGAUCAAGGCGAGUAAUUUGAGGUGUGGAUUUCCAAUUUCUUGUUCCGGAAAUCCCCGGCUGAAUAAAAUAUGAUGACCCUUUUCUCCUAAUGUAUAGAGUUGCAGUAGCUAUAGUAUCGUAUGGUGACGCCUUAGUAGUCGUUGGACUUAUUUAUGCAUUAUAUUUUAUUUUACCGCUAAAACUCUAAUAUACUAUAAUGUGUGUAUGAUGUGCGAAAGUUCGAGCGACUGCACAAGAAUAAAUGUGAUGAACGCGUCUGCAAAAGGAGAUGCAGUUAUAA